CCUUCUGCCUUUUCUAGGAUCUUCUGUAUGACACAACUCCCAGGCCCUGAAGACACAUCCCUCACUGACGCUGGUGGCCAAGACACUUUCUGUUGUUAUGGAUGGAGAAAGGUAAAGUUCUCUGCUCCAGGCCUGCUAGGGGAUCCAUCUACUCUGUACCAGGGAGGUCUGCAGGAGUGGCCUGAGGAAGGAUUGCAAGCCCAGAGGAAAUAAGUUAUGUUUUCCUGGUUCCUGGAUAUUCCUGUCGGCACACCUCAGCAUCCGGGUUUCGGGGCACCUCCACUCGUGGAUAAGCAUGGACAAUGCACAUGCAGCACUGGGAUCUGUGCAGCCAUAGGGAAUGCUUUCCUGUCAGUGACGGUGCUCCUGACUGCAUGGUGCUCCCUUUAUAGACGACAUACAAGCAUGUCUGUCUACACAGACUGUACCCCAGGACAGGAAAUGCUGGGAAUGCUGGGAAUGCUGAUCAUUUCGUGGACUUCUAAGCAGGAUGGCGGAAUGGAGCUCAGAACUUGUAACACCAUCAUUUUCAAGUGUUUUCCAACUCUGGUCCAUAGGCUGUCUGUGGCCAAGAGAGCUAUGAAGUUCAACACAAAAUUAUAAACUCUUUAAAACAGUGUGAA